AGUCUUAUAUUCAAAAUGAUUUCAAAUUGCAAAUUUGAAGGUAAGUUAAACUUUAAGGCUU
rnacentral:tRNA from 1 species